GGAAACUGGGAAUUACAAAGAUAGGCUAUGGGUUAUGGUUGAGCAAAAGAAAAGACAAUGGUAGAAAAAGAUUGGUGGUGGUGGGAAUCAAAGUGCGCACUAAAUGAAAUCGCACAAAAUCAGACACAUUUUUGUUUCUGAAAGCCAAAAAAAAAUACAACAAAAUAAGAAAACCAUGCUCUUUGUGGGCCCAUCUCCGCCAUGGC
rnacentral:misc_RNA from 1 species